rnacentral:tRNA from 1 species
GUCCUCGUAGCUCAGCAGGAUAGAGCAACUGCCUCCUAAGCAGUAGGUCACAGGUUCGAAUCCUGUCGAGGACG